rnacentral:rRNA from 1 species
GAUGAACGCUAGCUACAGGCUUAACACAUGCAAGUCGAGGGGAAACGGCAUCGAAAGCUUGCUUUUGAUGGGCGUCGACCGGCGCACGGGUGAGUAACGCGUAUCCAACCUGCCCAUCACUUGGGAAUAACCUUGCGAAAGUAAGACUAAUGCCCAAUGACAUCCCACGAAGGCAUCCGAAUGGGAUUAAAGAUUUAUCGGUGAUGGAUGGGGAUGCGUCUGAUUAGCUUGUUGGCGGGGUGACGGCCCACCAAGGCAACGAUCAGUAGGGGUUCUGAGAGGAAGGUCCCCCACAUUGGAACUGAGACACGGUCCAAACUCCUACGGGAGGCAGCAGUGAGGAAUAUUGGUCAAUGGGCGAGAGCCUGAACCAGCCAAGUAGCGUGCAGGAUGACGGCCCUAUGGGUUGUAAACUGCCUUUAUAAGGGAAUAAAGUGGGUCACGUGUGACUUUUUGCAUGUACCUUAUGAAUAAGGACCGGCUAAUUCCGUG